GUCUAUGGCCAUACCACCCUGAAUUUGCCACCAUCUUGACUGAUCUCCGAAGCUAAGCAGGGUUGGGCCUGGUUAGUAUGUGGAUGGAAGAAUACAGCAGAACUCUGUUCCAAGCUAAGACU
ensembl:rRNA 5S_rRNA 5S ribosomal RNA